UCACAGGCUGUUGACGCAUUUGCAGGCCUCCAUACAGUACACAUUUAGCAGCAAACACACUGCUAUGUCCAUUCAGAACUUUAUAAUCAUCAAUUUUGCAUGACCAAGUGGCAGGGGCCUCUCUUUUAGGUUUAACACCUAGAGCUGCUGAUGUAACUGGGUGAAAAUGACAGAGGAGCUGCUGCAGAUUGAGACUGCCGUGCUACAGAAGAACUUUUACCAGUUACCUAAGAUGCUUUUGAUCUGGGCAGAGUGAAGGGGACAUUCAUUUCAAAUGAUUUGCUUGUUUCAGUGAAUGCUUUUUGCAUGUGUUUCUGUGCGUACUUUUCUUCCCUCCACAUGUAAUCGCAUGAGAUGGCAACCUAGCUCUGGAAAAAAAAAAAAAGCGGCACCUUUGUGAAAUACAAAAAAGAAAAAGAAAGGGGAAAAAAAAUCUGAUCUGCCUCUGAAGAAACACCACCUUAUCUCAGAAACACUGGAGGCAGCUUGUCAAGCUUCUGAUGUUUUAUAUUCAGGGGUAAUAUCUGGAUUCAGAUGAACAGAGGAACCCAGGUGUAUCUGGCCACUGUCUGUGCAGGAUUCAAUCAAAGCCAAGUCAGAUUUGUUCUGUUUUUCCUUUUCCUUUGCUCCCUUGCUAUUUCUCUUAAUUUCACUUCAAUUCACUGUGCUCUAUUGGCAUGAAUGAUAGAUGAGCCGUGCUGCUGCAGCAUCUAACAAUAAACAGUUUUUGACCAUUUGUAUGAUUGUGUGUGUUGAUAUAUGUGUAUCUGUGCGUGUGCUAUAUAUAUAUAUAUAUAUAUAUAUAUAUAUAUAUAUAUAUAUAUAUAUAUAUAUAUAUAGAUUUUCUUUUUGUUUUCCACCAGGCAGAUGUCUUUGUUGUAGCUUCAUUUCCAUAUUUACCUUUUGUCUGCCUUCUCCUGUGAGACAUGAAAUCGCAUCUAAAACAAAUCAUCACGACUUAAACCAGCUUUGCUGUGUAGUUCUUCUGAAGCAUGGUUUUGCUUUGUUUUUCAUCAGUUUAAAGAAAUUUGUAUUUACAGUCUUCAGUGGCAUUCCUCUUUUUCCGAAAAACAUGUUUCCAUAUGAAAUAAUUAGGAAGAAUAAUUUCUGCAGA
ensembl:lncRNA